rnacentral:lncRNA from 1 species
GACGAAUACGUUUUCUAUCCAUUGCACACACAUUUUGAUACUACAAGCACUUAGCUCUAAACCUUUGAAUUUCAUUCACAUCAAAAAUACUUUGAAGUCUAUAUCAACUAAUUGUAUUUUAGCUCUAAGGUUUCAUUAGUGUUUUGUAUUAUCACAACAAUUUUUAUUUAUUCCUUAGAUUGAGAAGUCUCUUGAUUGGUGCUUGAGCAUUGUGUAGAAGU